GACGAACGCUGGCGGCGUGCUUAACACAUGCAAGUCGAACGGAAAGGCCCUGCUUUUGUGGGGUGCUCGAGUGGCGAACGGGUGAGUAACACGUGAGUAACCUGCCCUUGAUUUUGGGAUAACUUCAGGAAACUGGGCCUACUCCCGGAUAGGAGCUCCUGCUGCAUGGUGGGGGUUGGAACGUUUCGGCGGUUGGGGAUGGACUCGCGGCUUAUCAGCUUGUUGGUGGGGUAGUGGCUUACCAAGGCUUUGACGGGUAGCCGGCCUGAGAGGGUGACCGGCCACAAUGGGACUGAGAUACGGACCAGACUCCUACGGGAGGCAGCAGUGGGGAAUAUGGCACAAUGGGCGGAAGCCUGAUGCAGCAACGCCGCGUGCGGGAUGACGGCCUGCGGGUUGUAAACCGCAUUCGCCUGUGACGAAGCGUGAGUGACGGUAAUGGGUAAAGAAGCACCGGCUAACUACGUG
rnacentral:rRNA from 1 species